rnacentral:rRNA from 1 species
UGAGGAAUAUUGGGCAAUGCCCGCAAGGGUGACCCAGCAACGCCGCGUGGAGGAUGAAUGUCGUAAGAUUGUAAACUCCUGUUAGAGGGGAAGAAUAGUACCGGUUGGACUGGUAUAUGACUGUACCCUCAGAGAAAGCCCCGGCUAACUACGUGCCAGCAGCCGCGGUAAUACGUAGGGGGCAAGCGUUGUCCGGAUUUACUGGGUGUAAAGGGCGCGCAGGCGGGAUAAAAAGUCAGUGGUGAAAUCCUACAGCUUAACUGUAGAACUGCCUUUGAUACUUUUAUUCUUGAGUUCGGGAGAGAGAGACGGAAUUCCAGGUGUAGUGGUGAAAUACGUAGAUAUCUGGAAGAACACCAGUUGCGAAGGCGGUCUCUUGGUCCGACACUGACGCUGAGGCGCGAAAGCGUGGGGAGCAAACG